GCCCGCCUAGCUCAAUCGGAUAGAGCGUCAGACUCUUAUCAUAGGCGGAUAUCUGAAGGCUGCGAGUUCGACCCUCGCGGUGGGCU